AAUAUUGGACAACGGGGGCAACCCUGAUCCAGCCAUGCCGCGGGAGUGAUGAAGGCCAUAGGGUUGUAGAGCUCUCUCAGUGUGGAAGAUAAUGACGGAACCCACACAAGAAGCCCCGGCUAACUUCGUGCCAGCCGCCGCGGUAAUACGAAGGGGGCUAGCGUUGUUCGGAUUUACUGGGCGUAAAGCGCACGUAGGCGGAUUGGUCAGUUAGGGGUGAAAUCCCGGAGCUCAACUCCGGAACUGCCUUUAAUACUGCCAGUCUAGAGUCCGAGAGAGGUGAGUGGAACUCCUAGUGUAGAGGUGGAAUUCGUAGAUAUUAGGAAGAACACCAGUGGCGAAGGCGGCUCACUGGAUCGGUACUGACGCUGAGGUGCGAAAGCGUGGGGAGCAAAC
rnacentral:rRNA from 1 species